rnacentral:rRNA from 1 species
GCGGCCUAUCAGCUUGUUGGUGAGGUAAUGGCUCACCAAGGCGACGACGGGUAGCCGGCCUGAGAGGGCGACCGGCCACACUGGGACUGAGACACGGCCCAGACUCCUACGGGAGGCAGCAGUGGGGAAUAUUGGGCAAUGGAGGAAACUCUGACCCAGCGACGCCGCGUGCGGNAUGAAGGCCUUCGGGUUGUAAACCGCUUUCAGCAGGGAAGAAGCGAAAGUGACGGUACCUGCAGAAGAAGCACCGGCUAACUAUGUGCAGCAGCCGCGGUAAUACAUAGGGUGCAAGCGUUGUCCGGAAUUAUUGGGCGUAAAGAGCUCGUAGGUGGUUCGUCACGUCGGAUGUGAAACUCUGGGGCUUAACCCCAGACCUGCAUUCGAUACGGGCGAGCUAGAGUGUGGUAGGGGAGACUGGAAUUCCU